rnacentral:piRNA from 1 species
AUGGAAUGGAUGUUCUGUGUGUUCGUGAGA